UCCAAGGCUAAAUACUCCUGACUGACCGAUAGUGAACCAGUACCGUGAGGGAAAGGCGAAAAGAACCCCGGCGAGGGGAGUGAAAAAGAACCUGAAACCGUGUACGUACAAGCAGUGGGAGCACCUUCGGGUGUGACUGCGUACCUUUUGUAUAAUGGGUCAGCGACUUAUAUUCUGUAGCAAGGUUAACCGUAUAGGGGAGCCGCAGGGAAACCGAGUCUUAACUGGGCGUUAAGUUGCAGGGUAUAGACCCGAA
rnacentral:rRNA from 2 species